rnacentral:rRNA from 1 species
CGAGCGAACAGAUGAGAAGCUUGCUUCUCUGAUGUUAGCGGCGGACGGGUGAGUAACACGUGGGUAACCUACCUAUAAGACUGGGAUAACUCCGGGAAACCGGGGCUAAUACCGGAUAAUAUUUUGAACCGCAUGGUUCAAUAGUGAAAGACGGUUUCGGCUGUCACUUAUAGAUGGACCCGCGCCGUAUUAGCUAGUUGGUAAGGUAACGGCUUACCAAGGCGACGAUACGUAGCCGACCUGAGAGGGUGAUCGGCCACACUGGAACUGAGACACGGUCCAGACUCCUACGGGAGGCAGCAGUAGGGAAUCUUCCGCAAUGGGCGAAAGCCUGACGGAGCAACGCCGCGUGAGUGAUGAAGGUCUUCGGAUCGUAAAACUCUGUUGUUAGGGAAGAACAAAUUUGUUAGUAACUGAACAAGUCUUGACGGUACCUAACCAGAAAGCCACGGCUAACUACGUGCCAGCAGCCGCGGUAAUACGUAGGUGGCAAGCGUUAUCCGGAAUUAUUGGGCGUAAAGCGCGCGUAGGCGGUUUCUUAAGUCUGAUGUGAAAGCCCACGGCUCAACCGUGGAGGGUCAUUGGAAACUGGGAAACUUGAGUGCAGAAGAGGAGAGUGGAAUUCCAUGUGUAGCGGUGAAAUGCGCAGAGAUAUGGAGGAACACCAGUGGCGAAGGCGGCUCUCUGGUCUGUAACUGACGCUGAUGUGCGAAAGCGUGGGGAUCAAACAGGAUUAGAUACCCUGGUAGUCCACGCCGUAAACGAUGAGUGCUAAGUGUUAGGGGGUUUCCGCCCCUUAGUGCUGCAGCUAACGCAUUAAGCACUCCGCCUGGGGAGUACGACCGCAAGGUUGAAACUCAAAGGAAUUGACGGGGACCCGCACAAGCGGUGGAGCAUGUGGUUUAAUUCGAAGCAACGCGAAGAACCUUACCAAAUCUUGACAUCCUUUGACCGCUCUAGAGAUAGAGUCUUCCCCUUCGGGGGACAAAGUGACAGGUGGUGCAUGGUUGUCGUCAGCUCGUGUCGUGAGAUGUUGGGUUAAGUCCCGCAACGAGCGCAACCCUUAAGCUUAGUUGCCAUCAUUAAGUUGGGCACUCUAGGUUGACUGCCGGUGACAAACCGGAGGAAGGUGGGGAUGACGUCAAAUCAUCAUGCCCCUUAUGAUUUGGGCUACACACGUGCUACAAUGGAUAAUACAAAGGGCAGCGAAUCCGCGAGGCCAAGCAAAUCCCAUAAAAUUAUUCUCAGUUCGGAUUGUAGUCUGCAACUCGACUACAUGAAGCUGGAAUCGCUAGUAAUCGUAGAUCAGCAUGCUACGGUGAAUACGUUCCCGGGUCUUGUACACACCGCCCGUCACACCACGAGAGUUUGUAACACCCGAAGCCGGUGGAGUAACCUUUUAGGAGCU